AUCUCCUCCGCGUAGCUUAUUUCUUUGUCCCUCUUCAGCCCGCGUCCUUCCUGCUCAAUGAUUUUCCAGAUAAAGAGACAGCUGUCUUCUGAAGCGGUCAGCAGGUACUGAUCAUCGAACGUGAUCGCCAUCUGUGGAGAAUGAGAGAGCACUAACUCACAGGGAGUUGCAUGGCGGACACGCUACAUAAUCAAAGCCUAAGAAGAAAUGGAUUAAAAAACAAGAACAGCAUGUGUAAUUGCUGGUAUGGGGAAGUUUUCCCAUAUCAUCACAGUGCUACACUACACACAUACUUUGGUGAUGGGACCAGAAUGGGCCUGGUACUCUUUCCAGUCUUUUUGCAUGAGUAAAGGGUACUUGAUGGCCCUUAUGGUGCCACUGG